rnacentral:tRNA from 1 species
GCUCUGGUGGCUCAAUCGGAUAGAGCGUUGGACUUCUAAUCUAAAGGCGGCGGGUUCAAGUCCCGCCCAGAGUA